rnacentral:rRNA from 1 species
UACGUAGGAUGCGAGCGUUGUCCGGAGUUAUUGGGCGUAAAGCGCACGUAGGCGGUUUACUAAGUGUGGUGUGAAAUCUGCGGGCUUAACUCGCAGCGGUCGCCGCAGACUGGUAGACUGCAGGGCUGGAGAGGCAGACAGAAUUCCCGGUGUAGUGGUGAAAUGCGUAGAUAUCGGGAGGAAUACCAGUGGCGAAGGCGGUCUGCUGGCCAGUUUCUGACGCUGAGGUGCGAAAGCUAGGGGAGCGAACGGG